UUAUGGCUCAGGAUGAACGCUAGCGACAGGCCUAACACAUGCAAGUCGAGGGGCAGCACAAGGAGCAAUCUGAGGUGGCGACCGGCGCACGGGUGAGUAACACGUAUGCAACCUGCCUGUAAGCGGGGAAUAACCCGUUGAAAGACGGACUAAUACCGCAUAAUACUAAAUUACUGCAUGGUAAUUUAUUUAAACAUUUAUGGCUUACAGAUGGGCAUGCGCAUGAUUAGCUAGUUGGAGAGGUAACGGCUCCCCAAGGCAACGAUCAUUAGGGGUUCUGAGAGGAAGGUCCCCCACACUGGUACUGAGACACGGACCAGACUCCUACGGGAGGCAGCAGUGAGGAAUAUUGGUCAAUGGACGAGAGUCUGAACCAGCCAAGUCGCGUGCAGGAAGAAAUGUCCUAUGGAUUGUAAACUACUUUUGCAGGGGAAUAAAGUGCAUCACGUGUGAUGUUUUGUAUGUACUCUGCGAAUAAGGGUCGGCUAACUCCGUGCCAGCCGCCGC
rnacentral:rRNA from 1 species